rnacentral:tRNA from 2 species
GCCAACGUAGCUCAGCGGUAGAGCACUUCCUUGGUAAGGAAGAGGUCGUGAGUUCAAUCCUCAUCGUUGGCU